rnacentral:rRNA from 1 species
UACAGAGGUGGCAAGCGUUGUUCGGAUUUACUGGGCGUAAAGGGCGCGUAGGCGGCCUCUGCAAGUCGACUGUGAAAUCUCCGGGCUUAACCCGGAAAGGUCAGCCGAUACUGCAGGGCUAGAGUGCAGAAGGGGCAACUGGAAUUCUCGGUGUAGCGGUGAAAUGCGUAGAUAUCGAGAGGAACACCUGCGGCGAAGGCGGGUUGCUGGGCUGACACUGACGCUGAAGUGCGAAAGCUAGGGGAGCGAACGGG